ensembl:lncRNA
UGUGCAAAGUGGAGAGACACAGUGAUUCAGACCACCCUGGUCUCUGCAUGAGAUGGAGAAGAAACCUACAUGAGUCGUGGUCACAGACUGGAUGCAGGAGCAGGAGGGUGGAUGUCUUCCCAGUUCUGUGCAUUUAUUAUCCAAGAGAGUGGAGCCCAGUUUACUGAUGAUGGGAAGAAAGUAGGUUCAAAUAAUUUCCUUCCAAGGGCACACAUGGCUAACACACUCAGAGUCGAGUGCUGGAGAUUGGAAUUCUGUGACUGGGGUGCCAGCAUGGUCAGUUUCCGAUGGGGACCCUUUUCCUGGCUUGCAGACGACCACCUCCUGCUGCGUCCUCACGUGAUGGAGAGAGGGUGCCUCUUCCUAGAAGGGCUGGUCUUACCAGCCUCAUGACCUCAUUUGACUUUCAUCACCUCCUUAAAGGCCCCACGUCCUCUACAGUUACAUGGGCUUCAACGUAUGAACUUUGUGAGAGGGACAAGAUUCAGUCCACAGAAAAGGUCGAGUCCACGUAGGUGGAAGGAGUUGGUACUUGGGAGUCAGACUGACCUGGGUUCACACCCAACUCUGGUGCCUAUAGCUGAGGGACUUGGGUGAGUUGUAUUUAACUCUUCCAAGCUUGUUUCCUCUUCUGAAAAAUGUGGAAAAUGGACUCGCAGCCCACAGGGUUUGUGUGAGCAUUAGCUAAGGGACUGGCUGCAUGCUGGAGAUGUUGAGCUCUCUUUAGAGUCUGCCUCUGCUGGAAACCUGUAGUCCUGAGGCAAGAAUUCAGUGUCUAGGAGGGGCCCUGGCCUCCCUGGGUUCUGUCCCAGUGAGGAUGAUGGUUCUUAACUGUCAAUAUUGUUAAUGUGAACGGAAAUACCAUAUGGAGAAACACCCGUUUCAGUUCUCGGCAGGUAGCAGAUAGCCAAAAAACGUUCUUGCACCAUGGCUUCAGGUGGGCCUGAAUUGGGAGGAUGUCAGUCAACCAGGGUUUACUGAGUACCUAGUCAGUGCCAGGUAUGAGGGACAUAGCAGGACAGAAGACAGGCAUGACCCCUACUCUUACAGAACUUGGAGUCUUUGAGGAGAAGAGAGACAUGAACCAGAUUAUCACAAAGGCACCUGUCUAUGGUCUUGGAUCUGGGCCCACCUGGCUGGGGCCUCUGCUGCUGCAUAGAUGGUGUCCUCCAGAGGGGUGCCCCUCAGGUUCCUCGGGCUUGUUCCUUCCCGGGGAGGUGCCCCCUGGGUGGGAGAGAGCAGAAUUCCUGCCAUCAGUCCCUGGAGCCUCAUCAAAUGCCAGCUCAGCUUGCAGCUAUGUGAUUCCCUCCCGAUUGUCUCCUGUUUUGGUGUCCUCUGGGCAGCCGCUCUGUGUCUCCGUGAGUCACAGAGCCACUCCUUAAUCCCUGGUCCCGCUCAUGGUGAGGAAGAGCCUUUCAUCCAUAGCAAACAUGUUCCUGGGGACAGCGGGGCCUGGGUUGUUGAUGCCACCUCCACACAAGGAUUCCAAGCUGCUGCCCUCUUGGGGCUGUUGGGGGUUUCAGAGUCUGCGGAAGGUGUGGGAUGGGUUAGGUGGCGUGAGGCAACCUGAUGGUGUUUAAACAUCACCCACGUUUGGCAGAAGUGAGAAUAGGGGGACAUCAGCUAGUUACCUUGACCACCUGCAUACGUGGGCCUUUCUCUUGGCAGAGGGCUCAGUGGAGCAGAAAUGUGAACCGUUGCCUGGAGGGUUUAUGGAAGUCUCCCUGAAUUGUUCUAAUGCUCUCUUCUCUUUACUCAUAAUUGAGGGUCAGCAGCAAAAGGAUUUUUUUUAUCUGAGAGAAAUAGAAAGUCUUGGGACAGAUGAGCUCACUGCCUUAGUGAGCCACUUAUUCCUUUGCUGUUCAGUUGUGGUUUCUCUCUGUGAACACCUGUAUUUAGAUGUUGCAGCAGAGGCCAAUGGCCCUUUUUGCUUUUGGCAACAGCAGCCUGUGAGUUGUAGGCACACAUCUGUCCACCCUAACCUUAACUUUAACCACAGACCACAUUUCCUGGCCUCCCUGGAGCCUAACUGUGUCCAUGUGAUUAACUUUUGGCCAAUAGGGUGGGAGAGGAAGUGGUACAUGCCAUUUCCAAAUUAUUAUGAUUUUUCAACCAGAUGAUUAUUUUUAUAUCAAUGGUUUGUCUUAUCUAGAAGAUCAACUUGUUUUUUAAAGCAUGUAAAUUUCUUGCCCUGCUCACUCUUUCAUCUUUCCUGAGUUAGAAUGUUGAGGUGGUUCUGAGGGGCCAGAGUUUCCUGUGCACAGUGGUGACAGCCUUGGGACAGCAAAGCACAAGACAGAAAAAGAUUGGGUCCCUAAAUGACCUCAUCAAGCAGAGAUACCUGCCAACCUUGGCCCACUGCCCGCAUUCAGAAUGUUAUGUGAAAGAGAAACAUUUCUAUUUUAAGUCACUGUAUUCGGGGGCCUCUGACACGGCAGCUUAGACUAAACCCUAAGUAAUUUAAGUGUUAGAGUUAAGGUAUGGUUAGGCAUCUAACUCGGAGAAGGCAAUGGCACCCCACUCCAGUUCUCUUGCCUGGAAAAUCCCAUGGAUGGAGGAGCCUGGUGGGCUGCAGUCCAUGGGGUCGCUAAGAGUCGGACAUGACUGAGUGACUUCACUUUCGCUUUUCAUGCAUUGGAGAAGGAAAUGACAACCCGCUCCAGUGUUCUUGCCUGGAGAAUCCCAGGGACGGGAGAGCCUGGUGGGCUGCCAUCUAUGGGGUCACACAGAGUUGGACACGACUGAAGCGACUUAGCAGCAGCAGCAGCAGGCAUCUAAUUAUCUGUAAUAUGGUUCUGUGCUGGAUUCUGUUUAGAAUUAUAUUAUUUAUUGUUUCCCAUAACAUAUGUAGGGUUUCUCUGGUGGCUCAGACAGUAAAGAAUCUGCCUGCAAUGCAAGAGACCCAGAUUUGAUCCCUGGGUUGGGAAGAUCCCUUGGAGAAGGGAUUGGCUACCCGCUACAGUAUUCUUGCCUGGAGAAUUUGAUGGACAGAGGAGCCUGGCAGGCUACAGUCCAUGGGGUUGCAAAGAUUUGGACAUGACUGAGCGAUUAGCCCUAACAUAUAUAGGUCGUUAAGACUAAUGGACAAAUUCUACCCAUCUUGCUUUUAAUUUUGAAUUGCUUUUGAUGUUAAAACCAAGUAUGUGCCAGGUAGACUUUUGGAAGAUAUAAUUCCUUGACAAGCUGUGUACUUACUUAUAUCAAGCAGUGAAAGUUAUAUAAUCUAGUGAAUUUCCUGUAUGCUUUGAUUUCCAGGAAAGUUAGAGCUGGGUAAAUUUAAUGCUUACUAUAAUAAACCUGUGUUACCAUAGGGUUCUUUUUAUUGUAUUUCUUCCCCUGUGUAUAUUUAAUCUUUGUUUGUUUGUUAAGGGACUUUGUGUACCCAUGCUCACACCUCUUGCUGCCUUGCCUGAACUAUUCCCCUGCCAUCCAGGUACUUUCCUCUGUGCACUAAGGAGCGCCUUCCUUCCCUAGGACUCAUUUUAAGUGUUUUCUCUCUGUGCCGUUGGCCUUCUGUACAGAGCACCCUGGGACCUCCAUAGAGCAUCUAUCAUACUGCCUUUGCUUUAGCUGGUUGACAGUGCUACUCGAGUGCCAGCCUGUUGUGACCUCACUGCUAACUGUCCUCUUUAUGGAUAGGGGUAAAUUUGUCCUAGAUCGAGUCUCUGUAAGUUUGAUUUCCUUCCUCUGUAAGUUGCAAAGCUCAUGGAGACUAGCUGAGGUCAAGAGCUUAAGGCAGUCAAUUCUGGUAGAUUCUUGAGGUGGCCAUGUCACAACAGCUGUAAUAGUAGGGCUUUGAUGUCAUCCCUGAUAACAACAUGAGAGAGGCCAGUGGUCUCUUAACCGUGGAUGCUGUUCAGUUCAGUUCAGUCGCUCAGUUGUGUCUGACUCUGCAACCACAUGGACUGCAGCACACCAGGCAUCCCUGUCCAUCACCAACUCCCAGAAUUUACUCAAACUCAUGUCCAUUGAGUUUGUGAUGCCACCCAACCAUCUCAUCCUCUGUCGUUCCCUUCUCCCAUUUUCAAUCUUUCCCAGCAUCAAGGUCUUUUCAAAUGAGUCAGCUCUUCGCAUCAGGUGGCUAAAGUCUCUAAAGUAUUGAAGUUUCUGAGAUGGAAACUCCAUAUCAGGCUGAUGUUGGAUCUGAACCUCUGAUCUGGCUAGGGAGGAGCCAGCUCCCCUCUAAUUGUGUAGCUAAGAAGCUUCACAGCCCAAGGGCCACAGUGGGGGAGGAUGGUCAUCCACCCAGGGACAGAAGGUGGGUUUUGGACAGGAGAAGGGGUGCAACAUGUGCAAAGGCCGAGAGGAGAGGAAGCAAGGACAUUUAGUGUGGUGUAAAUUAACUAGUGUAAACUAGUGUGGUGAAAUUCUG